ensembl:lncRNA
GCUGUUCUGCUAGAAGGGCCCUUGGUGGCGCCCGCUCUUCCCGUCUCAGCCGGAAGACGACGCCGGCACGUCGUCCUCAGGGAGCGGGGGGGGGGGGGGGGGGGGGGGGGGGCUGGGCGUCCUUUCAGAGGUCGGCGCUCUAUCCGUGGAAGGCGGGCAUCUCUAUGUUUUGCCGAGGAGCAGUGAAAACACCACAAGGACUGGCAUUAGUUCUUGAAGCAACACUCGAGAACCAUCUUUUUUUUUCCCCUUGAACCUCAGUUUGGCCAUCUGUAACAGUUAUCCUGAAUCUGGCAUUCAGCGUUACUGCUGACCACAGAUUUUUGAAGAGGAUUUGAUGGAAUGGUGGUUAUGUGUGUGCCCCCAGAGUCCCACCACCAUGGUCAGUGAGCGGAGAGGAGGGGGAUGUUCCAGUCUGUGUGUGGGGAUGGCAACCAGCAGGUCCUGGGCUGGCAGAGGCAGAGAUGAGCGACAGCAGGAUGCAUAUUCCAUUUUUCCUCAAGAAUCAACUGCCUAAACCCCCACCAUCCAGGAAUCUGCCAGGCCAUGGAAUGAAAGAUCUGUCGGUUGCAGCACUGGUGCCCAGCCCGGCACACACUCACUGGCCACCCCUUCUGAAUGGACUCGGAAUCCACAGAUGAAGGCGGUAGCUUCCGUGGGUAGCUGUAUUCUGGCACCAGAAAUGUCCCCCCGCCCCCAUGUUUUGUGAACCCACUUGCGUUCCACAUCCCAGGCGGGACCGGCAGCUUGCUCAUCUCUGCUGCCCAGUUCCCUCAGACGCUUUGCCAUUCGUGAGAAAUCACUCAGACCUAGACUUUCCGUCUUCACACAGAGCGCCUGACCUUUGCUUCCAGACCCAACGUCAAGCAGAAGGGGACGCCAGGAAGGGGACAGAGGGGAGAAGGGCAGUAAGUGAGCUGGCACUAUAGAGACGUUUUCCUGAUGCUUUCUCGUUGCAUCCUCUGGGCAGCUUCUGUAGCUCUUGGCGGCCCAUUCCCCAGGUGAAGCUCAGACGUGUGAACGCCUACUGCUCUAAGGAGUCCUGAUGUAGCCUCCUGUCUCCAAGCACCUUUUCACUUAGGAUCAGACCAACCAACAUUCACUGUGUGCAUUGUACCUCCUGAGGGUCCAAGGACACAUUAAAGACCAGGACACAGUCUCCACCCCUGAGAAGUUCACAGCUCAGAGUUGGCAUGCUGGAGGAAGGAAAUACAGCAGCUGUCACAUCCAUGUGACUUUCAUGAGGCUGGUGGGAUCUUUCCGGGGGUAGCUCCGUGUCCACACAUCAUGUGUCUUCAGCCCAGAUGUGAGGUCUGGACCCAACAGAAUCCAUCUCGAC